rnacentral:rRNA from 1 species
CGCGUAGGCGGUUUCUUAAGUCAGAUGUGAAAUCCCGGGGCUUAACCCCGGAAGUGCAUUUGAAACUAAGGGACUUGAGUAUGGGAGAGGGAAGUGGAAUUCCUGGUGUAGAGGUGAAAUUCGUAGAUAUCAGGAGGAACACCGGUGGCGAAGGCGACUUCCUGGACCAAUACUGACGCUGAGGCGCGAAGGCGUGGGGAGCAAACA